UUGGACGUGGUGUACGGUAUACCCUGGCUUUCUAUUCAUUAGUGGUGGAACAAAUGCACCCAGCGUCCGGGGUUCGACUCCCCGCGUUCGAG